rnacentral:rRNA from 1 species
AUUGAACGCUGGCGGCAGGCCUAACACAUGCAAGUCGAACGGUAACAGGAAACAGCUUGCUGUUUCGCUGACGAGUGGCGGACGGGUGAGUAAUGUCUGGGAAACUGCCUGAUGGAGGGGGAUAACUACUGGAAACGGUAGCCAAUACCGCAUAACGUCGCAAGACCAAAGAGGGGGACCUUCGGGCCUCUUGCCAUCGGAUGUGCCCAGAUGGGAUUAGCUAGUAGGUGGGGUAACGGCUCACCUAGGCGACGAUCCCUAGCUGGUCUGAGAGGAUGACCAGCCACACUGGAACUGAGACACGGUCCAGACUCCUACGGGAGGCAGCAGUGGGGAAUAUUGCACAAUGGGCGCAAGCCUGAUGCAGCCAUGCCGCGUGUAUGAAGAAGGCCUUCGGGUUGUAAAGUACUUUCAGCGGGGAGGAAGGGAGUAAAGUUAAUACCUUUACUCAUUGACGUUACCCGCAGAAGAAGCACCGGCUAACUCCGUG